GACGAACGCUGGCGGCGUGCUUAACACAUGCAAGUCGAACGAAGUGGCGAACGGGUGAGUAACGCGUAAUCAACCUGCCCUUCAGAGGGGGACAACAGUUGGAAACGACUGCUAAUACCGCAUACUGAUGGCGGGGAUUGCGUCUGAUUAGCUGGUUGGAGGGGUAACGGCCAACAAAGGCGAUGAUCAGUAGCCGGUCUGGGAGGAUGAACGGCCACAUGGGGACUGAGACACGGCCCAGACGCCUACGGGAGGCAGCAGUGGGGAAUCUUCCGCAAUGGACGAAAGUCUGACGGAGCAACGCCGCGGGAGUGAUGACGGCCUUCGGGUUGGAAAGCUCUGUUAAUCGGGACGCGGUACCGGAAUAGAAAGCCACGGCUAACUACGUGCCAGCCGCCGCGGUAAUUC
rnacentral:rRNA from 1 species